GUGCUCACUUGGGCAGCACAUAUACUAAAAUUAGAACAAUACGAGAUUAGCAUAGACCCUGCACAAGGAUGGCACACAAAUUUGUGAAGCGUUCCGUAUUAGA